UGGCGGACGGGUGAGUAACGCGUGGAUAACCUGCCGUAUACAGGGGGAUAACACUUAGAAAUAGGUGCUAACACCGCAUAAGCGCACGGUUCCGCAUGGAACAGUGUGAAAAACUCCGGUGGUAUACGAUGGAUCCGCGUCUGAUUAGCCAGUUGGCGGGGUAACGGCCCACCAAAGCGACGAUCAGUAGCCGGCCUGAGAGGGUGAACGGCCACAUUGGGACUGAGACACGGCCCAAACUCCUACGGAAGGCAGCAG
rnacentral:rRNA from 1 species